rnacentral:rRNA from 1 species
GUAGGGAAUAUUGGUCAAUGGACGAAAGUCUGAACCAGCCAUGCCGCGUGAAGGAUGAAGGCCCUCUGGGUUGUAAACUUCUUUUAUCUGGGACGAAAAAAGGGUAUUCUUACUCACUUGACGGUACCAGAGGAAUAAGCACCGGCUAACUCCGUGCCAGCAGCCGCGGUAAUACGGAGGGUGCAAGCGUUAUCCGGAUUCACUGGGUUUAAAGGGUGCGUAGGUGGGUAUUUAAGUCAGUGGUGAAAUCUCCGAGCUUAACUCGGAAACUGACAUUGAUACUAUUUACCUUGAAUGCCCUGGAGGUAAGCGGAAUAUGUCAUGUAGCGGUGAAAUGCUUAGAUAUGACAUAGAACACCAAUUGCGAAGGCAGCUUACUACGGGGUGAUUGACACUGAGGCACGAAAGCGUGGGGAGCAAACAGGAUUAGAUACCCCUGUAGUCC